rnacentral:rRNA from 1 species
GAUGAACGCUAGCUACAGGCUUAACACAUGCAAGUCGAGGGGAACGACAUCGAAAGCUUGCUUUUGAUGGGCGUCGACCGGCGCACGGGUGAGUAACGCGUAUCCAACCUGCCCACCACUUGGGGAUAACCUUGCGAAAGUAAGACUAAUACCCAAUGAUAUCCCACGAAGGCAUCCGAAUGGGAUUAAAGAUUUAUCGGUGAUGGAUGGGGAUGCGUCUGAUUAGCUUGUUGGCGGGGUAACGGCCCACCAAGGCUACGAUCAGUAGGGGUUCUGAGAGGAAGGUCCCCCACAUUGGAACUGAGACACGGUCCAAACUCCUACGGGAGGCAGCAGUGAGGAAUAUUGGUCAAUGGGCGGAAGUCUGAACCAGCCAAGUAGCGUGCAGGAUGACGGCCCUAUGGGUUGUAAACUGCUUUUAUGUGGGAAUAAAGUGAGGGACGUGUCCCUUUUUGUAGGUACCACAUGAAUAAGGACCGGCUAAUUCCGUG